rnacentral:sRNA from 1 species
GAGCGUGAAGGAUAACGUUGCGUCAGCAACGGCCCGUAGGGCGAGGCGAAGCCGAGUCAUCCUGCACGACCCACCA